UAGAACAUGGGUCAAUUGCCAUAUUGAAUGUGUUCUUGUUUGCAACAAAUAAUUGGGUUAAGAACUAGUUAUGAGAAAUCGAUUCUUGAAUUCCUAAUAACAAAUGCCAUGUUUUAGGGUUUUUGUGACACUCAUAUUCUCUUUGAUCUUAAUGGAUUCUUGAUUGUUAAUUUGAGUAAAUGUCAUACUAGAUUUCAAUUAAGAAUACAUGUAUUGAUGUAAAUGCCAUACACUUUACAUACACUUAAGAGAGAAUCAU
rnacentral:lncRNA from 1 species